GCCCGGGUGAUGGAAUGGUAGACAUUGGGGACUUAAAAUCCCCUGCUCGUAAGAGCGUGCGGGUUCGAGUCCCGCCCCGGGCACCA
rnacentral:tRNA from 1 species